UACGAGUGCGUCGAGCGUUAUCCGGAAUCAUUGGGCGUAAAGGGUGUGUAGGUGGCGCCGUAAGUCGGGUGUGUAAUUUCGGAGCUUAACUCCGAAACUGCAUUCGAUACUGCGGUGCUUGAGGACUGGAGAGGAGACUGGAAUUCAUGGUGUAGCAGUGAAAUGCGCAGAUAUCAGGAAGAACACCCGUGGCGAAAGCGGCUCUCUGGAACGGUACUGACGCUGAGACGCGAAAGCGUGGGGAGCGAACAGG
rnacentral:rRNA from 1 species